AGUGAACGCUGGCGGUAGGCCUAACACAUGCAAGUCGAACGGCAGCACAGUAAGAGCUUGCUCUUACGGGUGGCGAGUGGCGGACGGGUGACGAAUACAUCGGAAUCUACUUUUUCGUGGGGGAUAACGUAGGGAAACUUACGCUAAUACCGCAUACGACCUACGGGUGAAAGCAGGGGAUCUUCGGACCUUGCGCGAUUGAAUGAGCCGAUGUCGGAUUAGCUAGUUGGCGGGGUAAAGGCCCACCAAGGCGACGAUCCGUAGCUGGUCUGAGAGGAUGAUCAGCCACACUGGAACUGAGACACGGUCCAGACUCCUACGGGAGGCAGCAGUGGGGAAUAUUGGACAAUGGGCGCAGGCCUGAUCCAGCCAUACCGCGUGGGUGAAGAAGGCCUUCGGGUUGUAAAGCCCUUUUGUUGGGAAAGAAAAGCAGCAGGUUAAUACCCCGCUGUCCUGACGGUACCCAAAGAAUAAGCACCGGCUAACUUCGUG
rnacentral:rRNA from 1 species